AGUGAACGCUGGCGGUAGGCCUAACACAUGCAAGUCGAACGACCACACAAUAAGAUCUUGCUCUUAAGGGUGGCGGGUGGCGGGCGAGUAACGCAUACAUAACCAUCUACUAUUACGUGGGGGAUAUCGUAAGACCGCUUACACUACUGCAGCAUAUAAUCUACGGCUGAGAGCAGGGGAUAUUCGCGCCUUUCGCGUCUCUUAUAGACGAUGUCGCAUUAGCUAGUUGGCGUGGUAAGGGCACACCAAGGCGACGAUGCGUAGCCGGUCUGAGAGGAUGAUCAGCCACACUGGAACUGAGACACGGUCCAGACUCCUACGGGAGGCAGCAGUGGGGAAUCUUCGACAAUGGGCGAAAGCCUGAUCGAGCCAUGCCGCGUGAGUGAAGAAGGUCUUCGGGUCGUAAAGCCCUGUUGUUGGGGAAGAAAAGCAGCAUGUGAAUACCUCGAUGUUCUGACGGUACCCAAAGAGUAAGCACCGGCUAACUUCGUG
rnacentral:rRNA from 1 species